CACGUAGGGCGCAAGCGUUGUCCGGAAUUAUUGGGCGUAAAGAGCUCGUAGGCGGCUUGUCGCGUCGACUGUGAAAACCCGCGGCUCAACCGUGUGGUCUGCAGUCGAUACGGGCAGGCUAGAGUCCGGAAGAGGAGAGUGGAAUUCCUGGUGUAGCGGUGAAAUGCGCAGAUAUCAGGAAGAACACCCGUGGCUAAGGCGGCUCUCUAGUACGGUACUGACGCUGAGACGCGAAAGCGUGGGGAGCGAACAGG
rnacentral:rRNA from 1 species